GCAGGGGUGGCAGAGUCUGGUUUGGCAUAAGCCACGGAAAAAUGCGCAGGACUUAAGAUCCUGUGGCCUAGCGCCUUCGUGAGUUCGAAUCUCACCCCCUGCA
rnacentral:tRNA from 1 species